GUUAAUGUCGCAUUUUUCAAAUUAUACACAAUAAUACUGUAGGAAUAAAGAUUCACGAGGAUAAUGAGUGAUUAGUAUAUACAUUAAGUGUCUAGAAGGUGGCGUUAAAAGGUGUGUCCCGGGGCACUCCUGUUAAACGUUAGGUAGGCCACUGUGGGGUUUUAGUCGGUAAACGUCCGACACUACGCCGCUGUUUCUCCUUGAACAGCGGCGGAAUGACCAUGAGGAUUUCCCCACGUAAAAAAAAAGUACAUACAUUAAGUAAAAAAAAACACAUAUAUUAUAUGAAAUACAUAAGUUAUAUGCAACAUGUUGAUUUGUACAUAGCACAUAUGUGUAUAAUUUUUUUCUAAAAUAAAAUUCGUAAAUAUUAA